rnacentral:rRNA from 1 species
CCUACGGGAGGCAGCAGUGGGGAAUCUUGCGCAAUGGGCGAAAGCCUGACGCAGCGACGCCGCGUGGGUGAAGAAGUUUUUCGGAAUGUAAAACCCUGUCAGGGGGGACAAUUAUGAUGGUACCCCCAGAGGAAGCCCCGGCUAACUACGUGCCAGCAGCCGCGGUAAUACGUAGGGGGCGAGCGUUAUCCGGAUUUACUGGGCAUAAAGCGCAUGUAGGCGGUGGCUUAAGUCAGAUGUUAAAUCCCUCAGCUUAACUGAGGUCCGCAUUUGAAACUGGGUUACUUAGAGAUCAGGAGAGGAAAGCGGAACUCACGGUGUAGCGGUGAAAUGCGUAGAUAUCGUGAGGAACACCAGUUGCGAAGGCGGCUUUCUGGACUGAAUCUGACGCUGAGAUGCGAAAGCGUGGGGAGCAAACGGGAUUAGAUACCCUUGUAGUC